rnacentral:rRNA from 1 species
UGGGGAAUUUUGGACAAUGGGCGCAAGCCUGAUCCAGCCAUGCCGCGUGGGUGAAGAAGGCCUUCGGGUUGUAAAGCCCUUUCGGCUGGGACGAAAAGGUUCGGGUUAAUAACCCGGAUCCAUGACGGUACCAGCAGAAGAAGCACCGGCUAACUACGUGCCAGCAGCCGCGGUAAUACGUAGGGUGCAGGCGUUAAUCGGAAUUACUGGGCGUAAAGCGUGCGCAGGCGGUUUGCUAAGAGAGAUGUGAAAUCCCCGGGCUUAACCUGGGAACUGCGUUUCUAACUGGCAGGCUUGAGUGUGGCAGAGGGGGGUGGAAUUCCACGUGUAGCAGUGAAAUGCGUAGAGAUGUGGAGGAACACCGAUGGCGAAGGCAGCCCCCUGGGCUAACACUGACGCUCAUGCACGAAAGCGUGGGGAGCAAA